GAGUAAGAAGCGAUCUAUUGCAGCCAGUUUCGACCUGUCCUUAGGUAAUUAUUACCCUUACUCU
rnacentral:tRNA from 1 species